CUCAUUUUCAGGUUGAGGGAGGGAUUCACCCAAAAAGAAAAGAGGGGAAGACUGCAGCCGAAAAGAGAGAGGGGUUUUCUCUCCAUGACGCUCUCCUUCUCUAGAUUUCAACAGUUCGACCACACCUCCAGCCUACAAGCACAUGUUCGAUCAUCUCCUACCAUCCAGUGAUCACCAUCUCCUACCAUCCAGUGGCCACCUUUCCUUCCGUCUCUCUUCAUUUGGCUGAAGUAGUUCAAAGCAAGAAGGCUGAUGCUUUAGGACCUAAAUGCCGCAACAAAAUCAGCCCUUCUAUCACUUACCUGCACAAGUUCCUGGAAGAAGUGAAGAGAAAUCGGCAUCAAUUCGGCCAAGCAAGAGCAGCAGCUGUUCCUUUGUCUCAAAAGAACAGCAGCCAAGUGGAGCAGCCAUGGACCUAGAGAUCAACGAAUAUGCUUUUCCACUUAAUCUAUUGAAGAAGAUCGAGCAGAAGGAAGUUGCGAUCUUCUGCCUUAGUGUUUGCUAAGGCAAACCUUGAUAAAAAUUUCUUGGGUUAGCUUCUAUUCUAAAAUUAAAAGCUGUACAUGAUUUCUCCACAAGCAGGAGAAGCUGUACGUGAUCUCUCCACAAGAAGGAUUCUUCUUAUCCUUGUUUCUUCAAGCUCGAGCAAGAAAAGAAUGGAAUGUAAUGAGAAUUUGAGUCAGAUGAUAUUGCAAAUAUUAAAAAGAUUAUACUUGCAGCAAUAUGUGUUAUAAAUGAGUAUUAUGAAACAUAUAUUUGCAAGACACCGUGUAUGACAUAAUCAUCUAGAGGAGACAAAUGGAUUUGAGAGCUACUACAAGGUCAUCCAAUGAGGUUUCAUAAUAUGUUUCGUAUGUCUCAAACAAUUUUUUUAGAUCUAUUGUAUAAAUUAGAAUGUGUUCAUCAUCUCCAUGGAUCAUGAAGGACAAAAAGCACAGAAGUACUUGCAAUGACUUUAUAUAUUUUAUCGCAUAAUGAAUCAAUAAGGUCCACAUGUGAGCGGUUUCAACACUCUACUGAGACAAUCAGUAGGUAUUUCUCUAUUGGAUUGGAGGCUUUGGUGAAAUUUUCAUGUUCUGUGAUCAAGCCUAUCGAUCCUGUUUUUGGUGAUAUCCCAAUGAAUAUUUUGUAUGAUAAUCGAUAUAUGCCGUAUUUCAAGGACUGUGUUGGAGCAAUCGAUGGAACACAUAUGGAUGCUCGUGUUUCGAAUGCUGAGAAAGCGGCUUAUAUAGGAAAAUGUGGGUCAACGACGUAAAAUAUUAUGGUUGUAUGUGAUUUCAACAUGUGCUUCACUUUUAUAAUGGCAGGAUGGGAAGGAAGUGCACAUGACAGUCGCAUUUUUAAAUUUGCAGCUCGUAAUAGGCUCAAUAACUUUUUCUUGCCACCUCCUGGAAAAUAUUAUAUUGUCGAUGCUGGUUAUCCGAUGCAACGGUGAUUUUUGAAGCCAUUUUCAGAUACCAAAUAUCAUAUACCUGAUUUUGAAAGAGGAAGCCAAUUAGUACGUGGGAGGCAAGAAACUCUUAAGAAGCGACACUCUUCUUUAAGAGGUGUAAUUGAGAGAUCAUUUGGUGUUUGGAAGAAGAAGUGGGUCAUAUUACGAGAUAUGCCUACAUAUUCAUUCAAAAAACAAAUAAAACUAGUGAUAUCAACAAUGGCAUUGCAUAAUUACAUACGUCGACAUUCUAGUCGGGAAGACCCUGAUUUUAAUAUAUGUGAUGCCGACGGAACAUAUAUACCAGAGGAGGCAUAUGAGUAUAGAAUUGGACAAUCAGUAGUAGAGACUGAAGGGAAUGAUUUUAAUUAGGAGGUACGAGAUGGUGAAGGAGCAGAGGAGAUGGUCCAUUUAAGAGAGAAAAUCACAGAUGCAUUGAUGGAUGAGAUGAAUUAGAAAGUUUUUUAUGCUUGAAAGUAUGUUAAGUUUUAUUUGAUUAAUUUUGUGAAUCUUUUGUUGAUUUUUUUUUUCACUUUAGGUGUCUUAAGAAUUUGUUGCAGAAUCACUUUCUAUUGAAAGUAAGAAAGGGAAAAAGUAUUGCAGUUUAUUGA